CGUGGUUCCCGCCCGGGCCCGCCGCAGCCGGCUCUGAGGAAGCGGCUCUGAGGAAGCAGCGCACCGCCAGCCUCGUCCUCGCGCCGGCGACCCUGGGGCGGGUCACCUCGCCGGGUCGAGGCCUCCCGGGCAGGCCUGGCGGAGGGAGGAGCGAGGCCUGCCUGCGGGAGACCCGGGGAGGCGCGUCAUGUGCAAAAGGACACUGUGAUGGAGUUUAUUACACAUAACAGCAAAUUCCAAAGCAGGAGUGGCAGCAGAAAACAAUGAAGGCAAAGGAAGUAAGCCCGGGAAGAGAAAGCAGUUUUUGGACAACAGUUCCUUCACCUCAGCAUUUUUCAUGGAUU
rnacentral:lncRNA from 1 species